rnacentral:lncRNA from 1 species
AAGGUUGUGCAGGCCGGGCGGGCGGCGCGGCGGUGCUGCGAGGGGGAGGGAAGGCCUCUUCCGCCGGCGGCCGUCUCAGGUGAGCGGGCGGGGAGCGGGGGUGGUCCCGGUGGGCGUCGGGGUCGCGCUCCGGCUGGCUCCUAUUGUCACUCUCAGCGGGCUCCGGCCAUGGCACUCACUCACUCACACACACACACUCACUCACUCACUCACUCACAAGCCAGCCUGCUGCCACCGCCCCGCGGCCCGCCCCCCCGCGCCCGCCCACCGGAGCCCGUCGCCAGGACGCGCCGCCUCAUUGGCGCCCGCCGCCGCCGCCGGGACAGCCGGGAAAGGGGGAGUGCUGCCGGGGAAGGAGGCGGUGCCGGUCGGGGCGGCGGCGGCGGCGCCCAGCGGCUCCUCCUUGCCAUCGGCCUUCUCGUCCCUUAGCGGGGCGGGGGGGGGGAGACGGACGAGCGCCGCCGCCGCCAGAGCGCGAGGCCCGUCGGCUUUUGCAGUGUCUUCCUCAGCCAACGUCCACUCCCCAACCGCCUCUGAAGGUUCCGGUGCUCCCCACCCCCGUGUCUCCACAGGACUGUCUCUGGCACCUGAAACUACGCCUGGACAUCGAGCGCCUGCCCGUGUGUCACCUUGUCCGCUGUGCCACCAGGUUUUGUAGGAAGGUUCAUGAAGGCGACGCCUGCACCAGUAUCCUGCAUGGAUACAUCCGUCCUUUCCAUGGAUACGCGCGUGGAAACCUGCCAUCCACACCAAAAACCUGCGUAGGAGCUUCACUUGCCCAGCAGCGCGGACAAAAAAGGUUAAGAACUUGAGGGUUUUUCUAUUCCGCAAACAAAAGGAAGUUCGUUUCCUCUGUUAGCUCACCGUGGCAUUAUGUGCAAAAAACAGGCCUGGAGCUCUGCAAAUACCUUCACUUAUUUCUGUACCUACCCAAUUUAUUUAUAGAGCCAACUGGAAAACUCUGGCUUUUCAUUUACAGGAUGCUAUGGAGCUUUUUGGAAUCGUUUCAUAAACCAAACUCUUCAGAAAUACACCCACACCUACAGGAAUCGUCAGCUAAUCAAGUCUCGGGACUUUUGGGGUUUUUUUGGUGUAUUUAAGGAGUAUUGUCAGGAGAGUUAAACCUGCCUUAUUAAUGCAUACAUAGGUAUUUCUCCAUAUACUUAACUUUACCACGUUAAUAAAUCCAGCAAUGGGCAGAUGUGUCCA